CCUACGGGUGGCUGCAGUGAGGAAUAUUGGUCAAUGGACGAGAGUCUGAACCAGCCAAGCAGCGUGAAGGAUGACUGCUCUAUGGGUUGUAAACUUCUUUUAUACAGGAAUAAAACGAGGCACGUGUGCCUUUUUGCAUGUACUUUAUGAAUAAGGAUCGGCUAACUCCGUGCCAGCAGCCGCGGUAAUACGGAGGAUCCGAGCGUUAUCCGGAUUUAUUGGGUUUAAAGGGAGCGUAGAUGGUUUGUUAAGUCAGUUGUGAAAGUCUGCGGCUCAACCGUAAAAUUGCAACUGAUACUGGCAGGCUUGAGAACAGUUGCGGUAGGCGGAAUGCGUGGUGUAGCGGUGAAAUGCUUAGAUAUCACGAAGAACACCGAUUGCGAAGGCAGCUUACUAAGCUGUGACUGACAUUGAUGCACGAAAGUGUGGGGAUCAAACAGGAUUAGAUACCCUUGUAGUC
rnacentral:rRNA from 1 species